rnacentral:rRNA from 1 species
UACAGAGGUCUCAAGCGUUGUUCGGAUUCAUUGGGCGUAAAGGGUGCGUAGGCGGCGGAGCAAGUCAGGUGUGAAAUCCCGGAGCUCAACUCUGGAACUGCACUUGAUACUGCUUUGCUAGAGUACUGGAGAGGAGAUUGGAAUUUACGGUGUAGCAGUGAAAUGCGUAGAUAUCGUAAGGAAGACCAGUGGCGAAGGCGAAUCUCUGGACAGUUACUGACGCUGAGGCACGAAGGCCAGGGGAGCAAACGGG